rnacentral:rRNA from 1 species
AGUGAACGCUGGCGGUAGGCCUAACACAUGCAAGUCGAAUGGCAGCACAGUAAGAGCUUGCUCUUACGGGUGGCGAGUGGCGGACGGGUGAGGAAUACAUCGGAAUCUACUUUUUCGUGGGGGAUAACGUAGGGAAACUUACGCUAAUACCGCAUACGACCUACGGGUGAAAGCAGGGGAUCUUCGGACCUUGCGCGAUUGAAUGAGUCGAUGUCGGAUUAGCUAGUUGGCGGGGUAAAGGCCCACCAAGGCGACGAUCCGUAGCUGGUCUGAGAGGAUGAUCAGCCACACUGGAACUGAGACACGGUCCAGACUCCUACGGGAGGCAGCAGUGGGGAAUAUUGGACAAUGGGCGCAAGCCUGAUCCAGCCAUACCGCGUGGGUGAAGAAGGCCUUCGGGUUGUAAAGCCCUUUUGUUGGGAAAGAAAAGCAGCAGGUUAAUACCCCGCUGUUCUGACGGUACCCAAAGAAUAAGCACCGGCUAACUUCGUG